UGUGAGAUUGAGUUGGGUCACUUCGAGUUGCUGUCGUCUUUAGCUUCAGGAGUCGGAGGUUUAUUUUUGUAUCAGAAUCGAAGCUUCCGUUUGGAGCAGGUUCUUAUUUAUCGCUUUAUUUAUUUAUUGAGAUUGAGUUGGGUCACUUCGAGUUGCUGUCGUCUUUAGCUUCAGGAGUCGGAGGUUUAUUUUUGUAUCAGAAUCGAAGCUUCCGUUUGGAGCAGGUUCUUAUUUAUCGCUUUAUUUAUUUAUUUAUUUCCCGCAUUGAUUUUACUUUAUAUAUUUCCCGCAUUGCUUUUACUUUAUUUAUUUCCCGCAUCGCUUUUACUUUAUUUAUUUCCCGCAUCGCUUUUACUUUAUUUAUUUCCCGCAUUCCUUUU
rnacentral:lncRNA from 1 species